rnacentral:rRNA from 1 species
GGCGAACGCUGGCGGCGUGCUUAACACAUGCAAGUCGAACGGAAAGGCCCUGCUUUUGUGGGGUGCUCGAGUGGCGAACGGGUGAGUAACACGUGAGUAACCUGCCCUUGACUUUGGGAUAACUUCAGGAAACUGGGGCUAAUACCGGAUAGGAGCUCCUGCUGCAUGGUGGGGGUUGGAAAGUUUCGGCGGUUGGGGAUGGACUCGCGGCUUAUCAGCUUGUUGGUGGGGUAGUGGCUUACCAAGGCUUUGACGGGUAGCCGGCCUGAGAGGGUGACCGGCCACAUUGGGACUGAGAUACGGCCCAGACUCCUACGGGAGGCAGCAGUGGGAAAUAUUGCACAAUGGGCGGAAGCCUGAUGCAGCAACGCCGCGUGCGGGAUGACGGCCUUCGGGUUGUAAACCGCUUUCGCCUGUGACGAAGCGUGAGUGACGGUAAUGGGUAAAGAAGCACCGGCUAACUACGUG